AUUGAACGCUGGCGGCAUGCUUUACACAUGCAAGUCGAACGGCAGCGGGGGCUUCGGCCUGCCGGCGAGUGGCGAACGGGUGAGUAAUGCAUCGGAACGUGCCCAGUCAUGGGGGGAUAACUACGCGAAAGCGUAGCUAAUACCGCAUACGCCCUGAGGGGGAAAGUGGGGGAUCUUCGGACCUCACGUGAUUGGAGCGGCCGAUGUCGGAUUAGCUAGUUGGUGGGGUAAAAAGCCCACCAAGGCGACGAUCCGUAGCGGGUCUGAGAGGAUGAUCCGCCACACUGGGACUGAGACACGGCCCAGACUCCUACGGGAGGCAGCAGUAGGGAAUUUUCGGCAAUGGGGGAAACCCUGACCGAGCAAUGCCGCGUGAACGAUGAAGGUCUUCGGAUUGUAAAGUUCUGUGAUUGGGGAAGAAUGGUAUUCUUAGGGAAUGAGGAGUACAUGACGGUACCCGAUUAGAAAGCCCCGGCUAACUAUGUGCCAGCAGCCGCGGUAAUUCACUA
rnacentral:rRNA from 1 species